rnacentral:lncRNA from 1 species
CCCAUUGUAAGACAAGUGAUAUACUUGAAAGUAUGAGGUUUUUAUUUUUUUAAAAAAAUUCUGUUUCAUUUUAGAUUUCCUGAAGGGUUUUAGAUGAUGAGAAUAAUGGUAUUACUAUUAAUAUAGUAACCAUUUAUUAACUACAAUUGACAGUUUCAAGUCAGUUUAUGAUGAUAUAAUUCUAUAUUUACUAUAGAUACAUGGGAUGUCUACUAUUCUUUAUAUUUAAGCAAAGUUUAAAGACAUUAACUAGCAUGUUCAAGGCCAAAGAACUUGUCAGGAUGGCACUCUAACUCAAAUCUAAUCCAGUUUAACUCCAAAGCCUUUUUUAUUAAUGACAGUGAUACACUGAUAAGCAAUAAUGUUCACAAACCAACCUCCUUUCAAAAAGCAAUUUAUUGAGGUAUAAUUUACAUAAAAUACAAUAUACCCAUUUAAACUGUACACUUAGAUAAGCUUUGGGCAAAUUUUUACAGCAGGGAAAUUAUCAACAGCAUAAAAAUAUGGAACAUAUCCAUCAACUUGGAGUUAUCUUUUGUCCCUUCUGAUUCAAUCUCCCUAUGCCUACCUUAUUUGUUUUGGUCAUAUUUGUCUUCUCUAGAGGUUCAUAUAAAUGGAAUUGUAUAUGUCAUCUUUUGGAGCUGGCCUCUUUCACUUAGAAUAUUUUGGGUUUAUUUUUGUUGUGGUUUGGAUCAAUUGUUGCUUCUUUUAAGUUUCUAAGUAGUAUUCUACUGUAUAAAUAUUAAAAAAGUUCAUUAACCAGUUUUUGGACAUUUGGGAUGUUUCUAGUUUGGCGCCAUUACAAAUAAAGCUGCUAUGAAAAUUUAUGUACAAAUUUCGUGUGAGCAUAGAUUCUAUGUUUGGUAAAUGCCUAGGAAAAAGAUCCCCGAGGAGUUCCCAUUGUGGCUCAUGGGUUAAGAACCCAACUAGUAUCUAAGAGGAUGUGGAUUUUAUCUCUAGCCUUGCUCAGUGGGUUAAGAAUCUGGCAUUACCACAAGCUGCAGCAUAGGCCGCAGAUGUGGCUGGGAUCUGGUGUUGCCCUGGCUGUGGUAUAGGCUAGCAGCUGCCCCUAAAAUUUGAUCCCUAACCUGGGAAUGUCCAUAUUCCACAGGUGCAGCCCUAAAAAAAAAAAAAAAAAAAAAAAAAAGAAGAAGAACAUUUUAGAAGGCAUGCUUUGUAAUUCAUUUACAAAUAAAAAACUGUUUUUAGUUAGUACUUAUUUCUUAGCAUACAUAGUAUUUCAUUGCACAAAUUAUUUAACCCUUUCAGUAAUCUUAUAAGGUGGGUACUGCCAUUUCCCAAUUUUGUAGAUAAGAAACUAGGUUUAGGCAGUUAAUUUGUACUCUUAGUUUCAUAGCUAGUAGGAGAGAGCCCUGACAUUUGGAUUUGGGCACAUCUAGCUUCAAGCUCAUGUUCUUCCACACUGUACCACUCUGGUAAAUAAUUGAUGUAUAGUGAAUGAAAAAUAGUAGAGCUUACAGAAUUUUGUUCCUCUAAAAUUAAUGUUUCAGAAGUAAACCUUAAAUAUAUCAUUAUCAGUGGCUUUGCUUAAGGAGUUGAAGGAAAUAAUAUAGGCUAUCAUGUAAUGUAAUUUGUUUUCUUUUUUUCUUACCUUAAAAACUAGAUUUAAAUAUUUUUGGUUAACUUAUAGAAUUAUAAGGCCAACCUAAUCAUAAAAGCACAAAGGUAAAAUAAAGCUAACAAGAAAGCUCCAUUACCACACUUGUACAAAAAAAAUGCUAUCAGUGUUUUAAAUGAGAAAAAUACAAUUAGGAAUAUUAACAUGUAGCUGUGAGAAAACUGGAUGAUGAACACAGUGUUAAGACACAAUAAAAGUAAAGUCUCUAAUAGAAAAUUUGAGGUCCAAAAUAAUAUUUAGAAAAGAUUUUAUUUAACCUUAAAGUAAUAACUUGGAAGGGUUAAUUAAUAUAAAAAACAAAAAAUAUUGAAUUGAAGCACUACAUCCAGGGAAAUGAAAUAGUUCCUGUUGCCAUUUUUUUGGAGGCAGUUAAACUGAAAUGUUUUUAAACAUGAAGAAAACGGUUGAAGAAAAUGGAAAAAUGAGUUAAAUUUUAGAUUAAAUGCAAUAUAUUCGGGAAACGAUCUUAUGAAUACUUUUAUUAUUCCAAAUAAGAUUUAUAAGGGGCCAGGAAUAGACUAGUGCAGAUCCAUCAAUAGCACAUUAUCAGUAGAGGGUACUUUUCAAUGUGGCAUAGAAGAUUAGGAAAGGACAUACAGAAAGUUAAAGAAGACGAUUUUCCAUAGAAUAACAGGAGAGUAGAUUUAUAUGUUAACUUCCAUAAAGUAAUGACUUUGUAGUGCCUUUAAAAAGAGGAAGACAGCAAAUCAAGUGUUUUUUAUGUACAUUUAAAGUAACAGAUCCAACAACCCAGGAAUAGGAAAUCAUGGAGGAGAGAGCAGCCUCUCCAUGAUGCACAGGGAGAACAAAUGCAAAGGGAGGUAUACCCAGAUUGAUGGACAAUCCAGCAUUGAUGUUCCUGCUGAACUAGACCUGCCAAAUAACUGGAAUGGAGUUGUAGAGGUAGUUCAAGGUACACAUGGACAUUGUGAAUAUCUCUUGCCUGGGACAUAGCAAAUCAACAUAGUGUUUGUUUCUUGGGACUGAUGGAAGAAAUUAGUACCACCACUUCCUUCUAGUUGAGGUGAGUUCAAUAUUGUGUUUGGAAACACACAUAAGCUAUGUCUAAUUACCUCUGAUACUGUGCUCUCAUUCAUCCAAGUAAAUGAUCUGUCUAGAAGGAAGAGGUAUACCUGGUAGAGACUUAAAGCUCUCAGUAGCAGGGACUGGGCCCAUUUGCAGGCCACAGUUUAUAGUGAUUUUAUGAUGACAUAGUCUAAUAAGAACAAUUCAAAAAUCAUUUAAGUAUUGAAGUAUAGCAGGUAGAGAUUUAUGUUUACAGACUCAAGAAAGAGGAGUUAAAAUUUUUUUAUUAGAGUAAGAACAAUUAACCAGAGAUAUACCCUCUUAACAAAUUUUUAAGUAUACAAUACAGUAUCAGUGGCUGUAGGUACAAUGCUGUGCAACAGAUCUCUAGGACUUACUCAUCUUACUUAACUGAAACUUUAUGGCUAUUGAUUAGUAACUCCUCAUUUCCCCUCCCUGUCAGCCCCUGGCAACUACCAUUCCACUCCCUGAUUCUAUGCAUUUGAUUAUUUUAGAUAUCUUAUAUAGGUGGAAUCAUGCAGUAUUUGUCUGUGACUGGGCUUAUUUUGCUUAGCAUAAUGUGCUCAAGUUUCAUGUAUAUUGUCACAUAUUGCAGAAUGGGACAACAUUCUUUUUAAAGGCUGAAUGAUAUUCCAUUGUACAAGAAUACCAUAUUUUCUUUAUUCAUUCAUCUGUUGAAGGAUGUUGAAAUUGUUUCUGCAUCUUGGCUACUGUAACUAGCGCUAAAAUGAACAGAGGAGUGCUAAUGUCUUUUUGAAAUCCUGACUUCAGUUCUCUCAGGUUAAGUAGCAGUGAGGUAUCUGAAAGCUUCUUUUCUAGAAAUGAAAUGACUCUCUAUUUCAACAACUUUUUCAGUCCCUUGGCAAGCUUCUGUGCAGUGCAUGACUCCAGGCAAGACAAGCACAGAGACCAUGGUCUACAAUGUAUCUCAGGGCUGUGCUCUGCCCUCUUGUUAGACUGAAAAAAUAAUCCUGUCAGCCAGUUUGGGAUUUCUCACCCUACUAUAUUCCUUUCUUCCUCAGAUUUUCCAUAAAUAAGAGGGCAUGGUGGGGGGAUCAUUCAUCUGAUUUUUUUACGUCAUGUGCCUAUGUUCACAUCUUUAAAAUACUAUCUGGUGGUUCUUUGUUCAGUGAUCCUUCCAAUGUGCUGAUGUGUGGAAAGUUCUGUGAUGAAGGAUGUAAGGUCCUCUGAUGGAGGUGGGAUUCAGAUUAUGGCUCAUAAUUGGUUGAUAGGAAGUUUUUCUUAUAUUAGGUUUUCUUAUUCAAAGAUUUUAACAUUACCUAACUAGUUUUAUUUCUUUGGCCUCUGCCGGUUGUGUUUGCCAGGAACUGCUGGUGGAUUAAGUAGAAGUUGAUAAUUUGAUACCUGAAGUACUAAAUGAAUCUGUUCUCCUAUCCUGAUUCAGAAGUAUUGUAAUUUUUAAAAACUUCUCUGUAAUUGAGAGAAUAAAUUCUCUAUAAUCUAGUGUUAACUCUGAGUUGAAGCUUAACACAUAAAUAAUUGAUUUUGAUCUUAUGAAUUGUUUAAAGUCAUAAUUAGAACUAGUAAUAAGCAGCAUGCAUUCCUGUCUCUAAUAAACUAUAUCCUUAUCUGUUAUCUCUAUCUUUUAGUCUAUUUCUCUAUCUAUCUAAUCUACCAUCUCUUUGUUUCUCUGUAAUAAAAAUAUUUAAGACCAAUAUUUAAGAGUGACAGUCUUUACUCCUGCAAACCUUGUUUAUAAGUAAUUGUCACUUCGGCCAAGUCACUUAACAUUUGUGGAUCUCAGUUUCUUCAUCGGCAAAAAAAUUUUGAAGCAAAUAAUUCUUAAAAUUACUCUGAAAUCUGUGGUUCUAUGAAUUUAUGAUCCUCUUUCAAUUUAGAUAUUUAAAGAAAUUAUCUACUGACAUGCUGAUACUUGAGUAUAAACAGUUACUACACAGGAGGUUGCUCAGUUGCUGUCCUCCAUGAGCUUGUAUCCCAGUGCAUAGUUAUCAUACUCUGAAGCCAUAUCAUAGUAGCUAUGGUAUCACACAGGGCUAGACAAAAGAUUGAAUCAAAUUGCUUCUUGCUCAACAGAUCAGAACAAUGCUAUAAUAAACAGUAGCAAGUUUUAUUUAGGAAGCCUGGUUUGGAGAGAGGAUAUAUAUCCGAUAGCUAAAUAAACAGUAAUAAAUAAAAUUCACAAAAAGGAAAAUAAGGACCCUUAGGAAAUUAUUUUGGGAAUAAGACGAACUAAUUUUUUAAGGGUAUUAUUCAGUGUUAAGGAAUUAGUAAUGAAAGAGGCAUUGAAAUUUUUAGGCAAGGGAGUGACACAGUCAGAUUUGAGUUUCAGGUUAACUCUACUGAUAGCAUAAGAAUUGGAUCUGAGGGAGUUCCCAUUGUGGCUCAGCAGUAACAAUCCCAACUAGUAGCCAACUAGUAGCCAUGAAGAUGAGGGUUAGGGGUUCCCAUCAUGGCACAGUGGUUAACGAAUCCGACUAGGAACUUCCCAUGAGGUUGCAGGUUCAAUCCCUGGCCUUGCUCAGUGGGUUGAGGAUCUGGCGUUGCUGUGAACUGUGGUGUAGGUCGCAGAUGCGGCUCAGAUCCUGCGUUGCUGUGGCUCUGGCAUAGGCUGGUGGCUACGGCUCCUAUUAGACCCCUAGCCUGGAAAGCUCCAUAUGCCGCAAGAGCAGCCCUAGAAAAGGAAAAAAGACCAAAAAAAAAAAAAAAAAAAAA